rnacentral:rRNA from 1 species
UACGUAGGGCGCAAGCGUUGUCCGGAAUUUAUUGGGCGUAAAGAGCUCGUAGGCGGUCUGUUACGUCUGCUGUGAAAACCCGGGGCUUAACCCCGGGCUUGCAGUGGAUACGGGCAGACUAGAGGCAGGUAGGGGAGAAUGGAAUUCCCGGUGUAGCGGUGAAAUGCGCAGAUAUCGGGAGGAACACCGGUGGCGAAGGCGGUUCUCUGGGCCUGACCUGACGCUGAGGAGCGAAAGCGUGGGGAGCGAACAGG